rnacentral:tRNA from 1 species
CGCCACGUGGGCGAAGUCGGUGCGCCCGAUCUUGGUGUGGUCGGCGAGGACGACCACCCGGCCGGCCGCCGCGAUCAGCGCGCGCUUGACGGC